CAGAAGCAGCUACUACCAGCCGCAGAGCCCGACAGGUGGGAAGGGAGGAUACCUAGCCAGAGUGAGAAAGAGGAGGAGACUAACCCUGCGGAAGUAAGGAGAGGCUGGCGGACCACCUACUGCCUGUCAUUUAGUAGCAAAGCAGUCGGACAAACCUCCUUUGCCCAGCAACUUUUACCGAAGUCCUUUCCCCGACUGCCUGACACCAGUGGACCUGCGUGUCAGUGUGACUUUUUCCAGUGGAGUUAGAGACUUACUUUUCUUCGUUUCUCUCCGAUGUGGGAAUGGAUCCCCAUCUAUUUCUUCAAUUAGGCGGGAUGACAGAACUCCCCCUCAAUAUCUGGGACAGGAGAGCAAUGAUGGGAAAUUGUAAGAUGUUCAAAGUACAAAAAGAAUUAUUUGCCGUAAAAGUUUCAACCGUCUAAGAAAACAGAAAACAAAAAAACUCAGAAAUCUUGCACGUAGAAUCAUCAUAGUCCAACAGAAGGACAAAAGUCAAGAUAACUGGUGAUAACUUGGAAUGCAGUGGAUGACUUUGACAUCUUUGAUGUCUGAACAAGCUCUCAGAGCUCCACAGUACUGCUUAAGGAGCCUUCCUGCCUACUGGAACAAAUUGUUCUUAUCUGCCUCUUCUGCUGAGAGAAGUCUUCACAUAGCUGGGGUAGACACCCCACUAACUCAUUCAUAGGUUUGAGGCCCAUCAUUUACAGUAGCUCAUCUGUCAAGAUUUACUGAGGUGUGGCUGCUAAGCAUACUACAGCUUCUUGGAGCCACAGGACAGAACUGAGUGACAGGUGGACACCAAAGGAGAGAAGCAGUCCUAAAAAAGGCUCAGCAAGACCUCAUACCAGAGAGAGACAUCCAUCACCUCAAACAAAAAAAAAGGGAAAGGAAAAGAAGAAGGAGCAGGAGGAAGAGAAACAGGAGGAACAGGAAGAGAAGAAUAAGAAGCAGUAGCAUGUUGGACAAACUAAACAGCACAUUAAACCAGUCUGACAUUAUAAGUAGUAUUCUAUACCCACAAUCUCCCUACCUCUGCAAAUUAGGGAGUAAAGAAUAUACUCAUGUCUCUGUGGGGGAGAGGAAAUGUUGGUCAUUAUAAUUUCAUAAAAUUUCAUUUCAGUUGUUUUAGUGUUUUCUUUCCAUUCAAGUUGCAUCACUGACAUGUAUUAUUUUCUUCUUUGCUAUCAGUUUAUUUAUGUUUUCUGGUCUUCUUUGUAUUUAUCAUUGAUUAGAGUGUAAUAACAGGGAAAGAUUAUUAUGGAAGCUUUGAGGGUAGGUUAAAAAAGGGGGAACACUAUAAUCAGAGAGACCACUAGAGCUAAUAUUAGUAUGCUCUAUGUCUUUGUUUCUUAUUUUGUAUUUUUAAAUUCUGCUCCAGAUCUAUAUUUUCCAUGCUGUAUUAUACAGUCAGAAAAUAAUAUAACUUUGGAGCUGAAAGAAAUCUGAGAGUACAUCUUGUCCAACAUCCUCAUUUUAUAGAAGGGGAAACUGAGGCCAGAGAGGUAAAGAAUUUACCAUAGGUCAGAGAGCACUACUGAGGCAAAAACCUAAUUUUCCUAACUCAGCCCUUUCCACUAAACCUAGACUGUCCCAAAGAUGUAAAAUUCAGGUUACUAAUUAUUUCUAGAAGCAUCUGAACAUUAACAACAAAAUAGGGUGACUAAGAAUGAUAUUUUGUAAAUUGUCUAUCUACCUCUUCAAAGUGAUGAUCAAUGCCACACAAGACUGCUAGAUAUAACAUAAUAUAAUGGUGUAAGGAUGUACCAUAACUUUUUUUUAAACUUUUACCUUCUAUCUUAGUAUUAAUUACAAGGCAGAAGAGCAACGAGGAAUAGGCAAUCAGAGUGAAGUGAUUUGCCAAGAGUCAAAGAGCUAGGAAAUGUCUAAGUUCAACCUAGGUUCUUCCAACUUCAGACCUCUAUCCACUGCCCCCAAAUACCUUUUUUAUGUUGCUUUUUAGUGAGUGUAAAGCAAACAGGUAGGAAAGAAGAACUACUUCAAGGGUACUUUGUAGAAUGGCUUCAAAAAAUAUGGUAUAAUUAUUUGUCAAUAUAAUUUUUAAUAAUUGUU